UAGUGGGGUAGAGGCGCGAUAUUUAACAGUCCUUAGUGGAGUUUGAGAAGCCAUGAUUCUAGGGAGAAGGAAAUGUCGCCGAAGUUUGUAAUAGUUCUCGGUAUUACUUGCUGGGUCUGUAGUGAAUAACUACAGGACUGUCCGCUAUAAACAUCCCGGUUUAUAGUGGUGUGCUAUCUCAUUU
rnacentral:ncRNA from 2 species